AUAAUAGCAAAAAGCUCUCGCCCACCGAGUCGGCAACUGGGCAUGGCCGCAUGGCCCAUCUCUUGUCACACUGGCUUCUAUGAGCCCAAGAGCCGCUUCGGCCUUCCGCUCUCCGUGUUGCCGAGCUGCGGCGGGCGUUGCGCCUCCCUCGCCUCGCCAGUCCCCUCGCCUCUUUCUCGUUUGCGGCGGCGUCCACAGCAUCUGCGGCUCCUGCCACCACGUUUCGGCUGCGACCCCUUCGCCCGAAAUACGAAUGAUGAGAGCAGGAUAAGAUAAGCAAAGCAAAUUAUGCGCUGCAGAAGUCCUUUGCAUUGCAGUUUUCCACUGGAAGGUUGUGAUGCAAGGUACAAAGAUAAACUUGUAGACAGAAACCAUAAUGCCUGACCCUGCUUAUUCGAUCUCAAUUAUGGUCAACUAGAGUAAUUGUCGUGGUUCAAUGUACUGUACUUGUUAUAAGUUCAUAUGGUGCAAUUGUUGUAAGAGGUUACUCAGCACUCAGCAGCGCUGUCCAAGCUUGACGAGCACCAGCGCCUGCACCUGACCGACCUGCUCGAUGUACAGACCAGCGGUUUAAAAAUUAAAAGGCAGUUGAAAGUUUGCGCAUUA